UCUUAGGCCGUGUUCACACCAAACGCCAUGUACAGUAAACUUGUUUACAAUUAGUUUAAUGUACUGGACAUUGGUUUCACAUUAAAUUUGUUCACAUCUAAACACCUUGUUUAAUUACCUGUACAUAAGAUUUGUUCACACUUGUAAACUCUAUGUCAUUUAAAUGUUCAUUACGUAGAACCGAAUGCAAAGUUUUCGGACAACUUUUCUAGCAGUAAGGGAACGACCAUUUGACUUCAAAUCAGGG
rnacentral:lncRNA from 1 species